rnacentral:lncRNA from 1 species
GGGUGGUUUGUGUCGUGUGUUAGGCGUCAGGUGGGUGAUGGAGCUUAUACUGAUUUUUGGCGUGAUUGUUAGUGUGGUAAUGUUUCGUUGUUGAUCGUUUUAGGCGGCUUUAUGAUUUGUCUGUCAAUAAAGUGGUCACGGUUAGGAAUAUGUUCCUGAUGGGUUUGAAGGUUGGAGGGGGGCUUGGCAGUGCCACCGACGGUUGUGGGCUUGGGAGGAAAAGUUGAUAGAGGAGUGUAGGGAUCUUUUACUUACAGUUACAUUGCAGGAUGAUUCUUCUGACAUGUGGCUGUGGUUGCCGGAUCAGAGUGGCGGGUACACGGUCUGUGGUGUGUAUGACAUGUUGACAGUGUAGGAACAACCCCUUAUUCAACAAAAUUUGGAGUUAAUUUGGCACAAACAGGUACCGUUGAAAGUCUCUAUCUUUGCUUGACGACUAUUGAGAGAUCGUUUACCUACUAGGCAAAAUUUGGCAAAUCGUGGGAUUGUCUCUAUGGAUUCACGAUUAUGUUUAGCUGGAUGUGGGCAGGUUGAGGACGUGAAUCAUCUGUUUUUGUCUUGCCCGGUUUUUGGAGCGUUGUGGCCUUUGGUUAGGGAUUGGCUCGGUGUUGAGGGGGCGGAGAGUCAGGUUAUUUCAUACCACUUCUUGCAAUUUAUUCAUUAUGCAGGUGAUCUUAAAUCGCGGCGUUCGUUUUUUUCAUCAGAUUUGGCUUUUGUGUGUUUGGGUUUUGUGGAAAGAUCAGAACGACAAGUUAUUCAGGAAUACUCAUAGCUCUUUACCGCAUAUGUUAGAUAAAGUAAAAUCCUAUUCAUUGUGGUGGUUGAAGGCUGGUAAUGUUGCCUUUAGAUUUAGUACUCAAAAUUGGUGGUCAAAUCCGCUUGUCUGUCUGGGUAUUGGCUGAUUGUUUUGUAUUUGUAUAUUGACUUGACUAUGCUCUUUUUCCGUGUUGUGGCACACCUUGUGCUGCAACAAUUAUAGUGUUGGUGUUAAUAUAAUUCAUUUUUGCAUGUUCAUAAAAAAAAAAAGUCUCGACUGAUUAUUUUAUUUAUACCGAUGUUUUAUGUUAUAUUACUC